rnacentral:lncRNA from 1 species
GGGCUCCGGCACCCGGCUGCGGACCAGAUCCCCUGGGCUGCACCCGGCCUUGCGCCCCUGGUCCGCGCUCGCAGGCUCGGAAACGGGCGGUCCUCCCGAGGCUGAAAGGGAAAAAAGGAAAAUGAAGUCCUAUUAAUAUGUUUAUGAUAGGAAGAAUAAUUAGAAAAGUAGAAUAAAAAAACUGAAGCAUGGUGAAAUCACAGUGUGUGAAUAUAUGCAAAGGAUACUCAAAGGUCAAGAAAAGUUCAAGAAUUGUCUCUGCAUGAUAGGGAAAUGCAACUUGCUCUGCCCGACGCCUAGAGUCUCUGGCUGCAGGUCUGGUCCUGGCCCCCUAGGAGGACUUCCCGAGGUCUUAGAUGGAGAGUGGCAGGGACAACCAUGCUUAGGUUGAGGCCUAUGAAAGGAGUGUUUUCAGCAGCAGAGCCACCAAACUAACAAGUCACUGAAUUUUAAAACUCUGGCCACGUGGCUUAGAGGACUCUGGGCAUUGCCCCUUUGCUACCAGCUCCAAAGAUCUGGGAAGAUCUCAUUUGGAUUAGUGACCACGGUUUGUGGGAAUCUUCGCAACCCAAAAAAGGCUGUUUAAAACAGGGGAAACACUGAGCUCUGGAAAUGGUUUAUUUGGCCAUCAGAAUUUUUUUUUUUUUUAAUGACCACCAUUUAAAAAUUCUUUUCAUAAAGUCCCAAAUUUUGGGGUUCCCUGGUGGUCUAGGGGUUAGGAUUUUGCACUUUUCAUUGCUGUGACCCAGGUUCAGUCCCUGGUCUGGAAACUUCCACAAGACAUGGGCAUGGCCACAAUUUUAAAAAAUAAAGUAGGGAGUUCCCAUUGUAGCUCAGUGGGAUAAGAAGUGACUAGUAUUCAUGAGGAUGUGGGUUGGGUCCCUGGCCUCGCUCAGUGGGUUGCUGUGAGCUGUGGUGUAGGUCACAGACAAGACUCGGAUCUUGCAUUGCUAUGGCCGUGGUGUAGGCUGCCAGCUGCAGCUCCAAUUUGACCCCUAGCCGAGGAACUUCCAUUUGCCCAGGUGUGGCCCUUAAAAAAAAUAAUAAUAAUAAAUUAAAUUAAAUUAAAAUCCCAAGUUUUUUUCAUUUUCCCGAAAAAUUUAGACUAUGACAACCCCAAAACCCUCAUUCUGACAAAACAAUACUGGACCGGGUCCCCAGGAGCGUGUUUGGUCUCAGGGUGGGACAUGAGCCGUGGUCCUGACAGCAGCGCUCACAUAGUAACUGGCCUGAGACUGGUGAGGAUGGGAAUUUUCCACCAGGGGUCAAGGGUCUCCCGGGAAAAGUCAGGGCUCUCUGGGCAGGUUUUCUUCAACCAAGCAGCCUCUGGGUACUGUGGGCAGUGGGCAGGAGUGGAUGAAGGAAGAAGAUGAACUCCACCUCAAGGAAAUGCAAACUCCUAACCCUGACGAGCCAAGCCCCAGGCACCCAGGCUUGAGACACUGUGACCCACCGUGACCCACCACCCAGAGAAACAGAAGCCUUGGCCGAGAAGCCUGCACAGAGCCUGGUCACGUGUCCAGAGCUGGCAUGAAGACCAGGGAAUGGCGGGGGCGGGAGAGAAGAAUGUGUCCUGUGUCCCUCUGUCCUUCCACUGGGCCUGACAAGAAAGAAAACAAACCCCAACUCUCACUCGGAAGAAACGAAACUCCCACCCGCCCCUGCAGCCUAACUCCCCACGGACCAAAUGCUAGCUGAGUGGGUGUCAGCCGCAGCCGCGCAUCUGUUCUAACAUUUGCACUGCAGCCAGUGACACCGGAAUUUCGGGGCGGAGGAGGGGGAGCGUCUAAGCCUCCGUAGGUUUCAAGUGUGAUUCCCGUGGGGUGAGAACCAGUGCACCGGAGCCCUGCUUCUCUGCCUUGAACCAUGCCCCUGACUCACUGGGGAGCCGGUCAAAAAUGCAGAACCUGAGUGGUAGGCGGUCCAAGGUCCGCCGUGGAGCCUGAGCUCCUGCCCUUCACCAAGUUCAGAGGCGCAGCCCGUGCUGCAGAUCCCCGGCCACACUUUGAGUGACAAGAAACUACAGCCUCUUCCUCUGUCAUUCUCUUUUCAAGUACUUUAGCAGGGAUGACCCCAGGUCAGUCACCUCUAAACCUAAUAAUAAUAGUAUUCAAAUACUGUAAACUAAGUGUAACAAUAUUGAAUAGUAUUAAAGUACUACAAAGUACUGCAACUAAUUGAUAACAAUAUUAUUCAAGUAUUACAAACCAAGUAAUAACAAUUAAUAAUAGCUAGACUUGGAGUUCUCAUCGUGACACAGAGGAAACGAAUCUGAGUAGGAACCAUGAGGUUGUGGGUUCAAUCCCUGGCCCUGAUCAGUGGGUUAAGGAUCUGGUGUUGCUGUGAGCUGUGGUGUAGGUUGUAGACACAGCUCAGAUCUAGUGUAGCUGGGGCUGUGGCGUAGGCUGGCAGCUGUAGCUCCAAUUCAACCCCUAGCCUGGGAACCUCCAUAUGCAGCAGGUGCAGCCCUAAAAAGUAAAAAUAAAAUAAAGGGUUGAAGAUAAGCAAACAACUUAAAAAAAAAGAAUGUCUAGACUUGGUCAUGUGCUUCUUGCUCAACACUGUGCUAAAGUUCUACUUUUUAAAAAAAAUAUUCAGCUAGAUGUGAAAUAGCUUGUUCCUACCUCAAGCUGGUUACCACUCCGAGUCUCUUACUUAUAUUAACUCAGUUAAGCUUCACAACAGCCCUAUUGUUGGAAGUCCCAUUAUUACCACGUCCAGAAUCAACUUGCUGAGGUCAUUUGGUUUAUGAGCAUGGUGGUGGGGUUGGGACACAGGGUAUAAGCUUGUAAUUCUCUGGAAGCUGGGGCCUCUGAGUACUGAAUACUUUGUCACACUAGUAAGUGGCAGAGCUGGGCUUCCAGUUGCCAUCUGAGUCUCUAUAAACAGAGCUCCUGGAGGGAAAAGUCAGUGAUGUAUAUACAUUGUGUGUCAGAGGCCUUGGCAUGUUACAGACACUCAUAAUAUGGUACUCAUGUUUCCUGUCUUUUGAUCUUCCUUCUUUUUAUCGUCCUCCUAGAGUAGUCAGUGUGAACUUUUGACAAGCAGUUGAGGGGGGGCAGUCUUUGUCUAUGUGGGCUGCUAUCACAAAAUAGCAUAAACUGGGCGGCUUAGACAACAUUUUUCUCAGUUCUGGAGGCUGGAAGUCCAAGGUCAGGGUGCCAGGAUGAUCAGGUUCUUGGUGAGGGCUCCUUUCCCGGUUUAUAGACAGCUGCCUUCUUGCUGUCUCCUCACAUGAAGAGAGGAAUCAUCUCUCUUCUUAGAAGGGCAUUAGGAGUUCCCGUCCUGGUGCAGUGGUUAACAAAUCUGACUAGGAACCAUGAGGUUGUGGGUUCGAUCCCUGGCCUUGCUCAGUGGGUUAAGGAUCUGGCGUUGCCGUGAGCUGUGGUGUGCCUUGCAGACAAGGCUUGGAUCCCACGUUGCUGUGGCUCUGGCAUAGGCCGGCGCCUACAGCUCAAAUUCGACCCCUAGCCUGGGAACCUCCAUAUGCUGAGGGAGUGGCCCCCAAAAUAGCAAAAAGACAAAAAAAAAAAAAAAAAAAAAAAAAA